AGAGGUUCUAUUUUGUCUCAGUGGUACAGCAUCUGCUUGGUGUGCAGAACGUUCCCGGUUCAAUUCCUGGUAUUUCCU
rnacentral:tRNA from 1 species